AACAAUGUGGCUGAACUGACUGGU
rnacentral:piRNA from 1 species